AUGGUCUCAAAGCUGCCCUCGUGCUUCUCCCUGCUCAUGCCCUUGAUCACCCCGAUGCAACCGGUGUUCCUGCCUCCGGUCACCAUCACAAAAUUCCCGACCUCAAACUUGAUGAAAUCCACAAUCUUGUUGGUCUCCAGGUCAAUCUUGAUGGUGUCGUUGGGUUUGAUGGCAGGGUCAGGGUAG
rnacentral:rRNA from 1 species